rnacentral:rRNA from 1 species
UACGAAGGGGGCUAGCGUUGUUCGGAAUUACUGGGCGUAAAGCGCACGUAGGCGGAUAUUUAAGUCAGGGGUGAAAUCCCGGGGCUCAACCCCGGAGCUGCCUUUGAUACUGGGUAUCUCGAGUCCGAGAGAGGUGAGUGGAAUUCCGAGUGUAGAGGUGAAAUUCGUAGAUAUUCGGAGGAACACCAGUGGCGAAGGCGGCUCACUGGCUCGGUACUGACGCUGAGGUGCGAAAGCGUGGGGAGCAAACAGG